rnacentral:pre_miRNA from 1 species
AAUAAACCCUGGGUUUUCGUGUCCAACUUUGAUUGUCCGUCUUAUAUAAAAUUUUUUUAUAAUUCGUAUUUUUAUUGUUGUUAGAUGAUAAAACAUAAUAUUUUAUGCGUGACUUGUCUUUUUAAUUUUUUUCAUAAUUUUUUCAAAUAAGACGGACAGUCAAACGUUGGACACGGAAACCAAGGUUUGUCUUUUUU